rnacentral:rRNA from 1 species
AGAACGAACGCUGGCGGCAUGCCUAAUACAUGCAAGUCGAACGAACUCUUCGGAGUUAGUGGCGCACGGGUGCGUAACGCGUGGGAAUCUGCCCCUUGGUUCGGAAUAACAGUUGGAAACGACUGCUAAUACCGGAUGAUGACGAAAGUCCAAAGAUUUAUCGCCAAGGGAUGAGCCCGCGUAGGAUUAGCUAGUUGGUGAGGUAAAGGCUCACCAAGGCAACGAUCCUUAGCUGGUCUGAGAGGAUGAUCAGCCACACUGGGACUGAGACACGGCCCAGACUCCUACGGGAGCAGCAGUAGGGAAUAUUGGACAAUGGGCGAAAGCCUGAUCCAGCAAUGCCGCGUGAGUGAUGAAGGCCUUAGGGU